AGACAUAACAGUUGACAAGGGUUUUCACUUUUGUCACGGUCUAAUAAAUCUUCGGUGAACUUGAGGUGCAUGCAGGAUUUUACUUCGUAACCAGACCACAAUAUCACGUUGCAUGCGUAUAUUUGUUACUAAUUUAACUUUUAGAAGAGAUCUGUUGUCACACACAAAGUUCUUGACGGGCCAAAUAUCGAAAACACGGAAUUGACCCCAGCCUAGGUAGGAUCCUACUAAACCGGGCUCGGCCACAAGUACAGAAAUCGACGUGUUCAAACGACUAACAGUAAUGGCUGUUUAUAACACAAGAAGAAAAACUGUACAAUCGGAGUUUCUUCUGUUGGCAGCCAUCUUGUUUUCUCUUUUGGCGAACGUGAAGACUGGCAUCACCACAAAGCCGGAUGUGGUGGUAGGAAACCCUGGUUCAACAGCUGUGCUGUCCUGUCAGGCUAGCGAGGCCAACAGCCAGCUUGACUGGUGGUUCCUAGAUCACAAAACACAGAUAUCAUCAGGUCGCAGUGUGCUCAUCAACGAUGCCAGCAAAUACAGUCUCAUAUUUCCACAAGAUAGUUCUGGCUACAUGGCAGUGAACUUGCAGAUUCGUGAUCUGAAGACUACCGACCACGGCUACUACCGCUGUGUUAUCCAUGGUACCCAGGAUGCAGUUACACACCAGCUCACUGUCAUAGGGGCUCCUAAAAUACCGACAAAUGUGAAUAUAUCAGCUGCAAAUUUUACAGCCUGUUGUCGCCAAGAAAGUGUUUCGGAGCAGUGCAUGCCAGCCUGCCACCCGUCCAGUGUGGAUCGCAGUGUAUUCAACGAAACAGAAGUGUGUGCCUCCGAUCUCAACAAACUACUCAAGUGUUUCUCAGAUGCCCGAAAUCACAUCGGCUGCUGUCGUAGACGUUUACUACCAGAAGAAUGUCUAGACUUCUGUGCAAACAACCCACCCACCUUGAGUCUAGUGCAUUUGGGUUGUCUGCGUCGUGUUAAUGACAUCAUUUCCUGUUUUGAAGAAGGUCAAGUUUUGCUGCCAAGUGUUCCAGUGAAGGUUUCGGCUCUUAAUCUUCCUGGUUACAGACUUCUCGUUAGUUGGCUUCCACCAAGUGAAAAUGCCAAACUUCUAACUGGCUACAGAGUUUCAUACCGACAGACCAGUGACCAAAACGGGCCCUACAGCCAUACUGCUGUGUUGACCCAUUUCACUAUCCAGUACACAUUAACUGGUCUGGAAGCCAACAAGCGUUACACCAUCUAUGUGACAGCCAUCGGCAAGUAUGGAGCCAGUCAGCCUUCAGAAAGAAUCGAUAUCUCAACGUCUAAUGAUAUUUCGCAACCUGGCCAGGACAAGGACAUUAAAGCUUGUUGUGUUGCCCGUAAGGUGAGCAGCCUCUGUCGAGACUUGCUGUGUACGGCGUCUGUUCUCAAACAGUGGGACCCAACAAACCUGGCUAAGUGCUACCCAGAGCUAGAACACAUCUUCAGCUGUCUUAAAGGAGAGCGUAACCACACAACCUGCUGUAAACAGAACAACAUCCCCACCAUAUGUCUUGGUUUCUGUGGUACCAAACCUCCUUCGUUUAGCUGGGAUUUCGUCGAGUGUGUGUCUGACAAAAGACUCAGUACGAUCGAGGCGUGUGUUCAGCAGGGCUUGAAGAGUCUUCCAAGUGCACCACAGUCAGUCAUGUUAACAAGCUUGGGUUAUCAGUCUGCUGAUAUUUCAUGGUCUCCACCAGUCUCGGGGGACAAGCCGGGUCAAACGUAUCUUGUCCAGCUGAGAGAAAAGAAAAAAGGAAUUCUGUUUAAAAAUAUGGACACAGUGACUGGAACAUACAUUAAGCUGACAAACUUGAAGUCUGACACCUUGUACGAAGUAAGAGUCAUUACCGUGGGAAAUGAAUCCAGUAGUCUCCCUUCUCUGACCAUCACAUUUCUCACCAAACCUGAUCUGACAGUUGUUACUCCUCCUCAGGUAGUGGCCAUUAACAAUGAGACAGCUUGUUGUAUAAAAGCGAAUGUUAGCAGAACAUGUAUGCCAGGCUGCACCUACGACGUAGCCAGCCUUAUAAGUUUUUUCGGUGACACAAGCAAUUUGUUUACCUGUGUGGCCCAUAUUCCAAACAUGAUGAAAUGUGGAGCAGAUGGACGGAAUCACACCAACUGUUGUGCAGGUCGAGGUGUGAAUGCUCUGUGUUCCAAGCUUUGUUCUAUAUCGCAGAAUGACACCAUCGGCCCCGACUUUGUGUCAUGUUUCGGCAAAGUACUGGAUGUCAUUCAGUGUUACGAAGAAGGGAGAACGACCUUACCUAAACAUCCAGAUGGUGUCCGAAUUACCAAGGUCACUACGCACACAAUCAGCCUGACUUGGAACCAUCCGGCUUCUGGCGGCCAAAUAAAUAACUACAUCGUACGGUACAAGGAAUUCCACCAAGACUGGCAGCUGAUUGACACAAAAUCGUCAAAGAUUACAUACAUCAUCCAAGAUCUAAAACCAUCACAUGAGUAUGAAAUUAAUGUCUUGUCAUCUAACGACAAUGGUGUGAGUGUUCCGAGUGCAUCAAUUGUCUCCUUCACAAAGCAUGUUAAUGGCACCUCAGCACCUGUUGUGACACCUCACCCACUUGGAAAAGCUAUAUUUGAAAAUAAAACAGACUGCUGCAAGAACCAAGGUGUGUCGGCUGAAUGUAUGCAUCUCUGUCUGAACAAAGCAGGAAGCACCAGUCCUUGUUAUGUCGAUGCUGAUAAAAUCAUUGCAUGCGGAGCAGAUGGAAAAGACCACACUCCAUGCUGUCAUCGUCGAGGGGUUCCAGACUCCUGCUUGUCGCUGUGCAAGGGCCAGUCAAUGGGGCGGAACCACCUGACCCUCUUCUGUCUCACCUACACUGUGUCCAUCCAGACCUGCUUCUAUGAAAAUGAUGGCUUGAUACCUUCACCUCCGACCAAUUUCGCCACAACUGAAAUGCCCAACCAGUUUCGGCAGCUCACCUGGGGGAAGCCGUCAUCAAAUUGUGACAGUGGGUGCACCUACAGUGUCCACUACUGGGAAGUGUCGCCAUACUACGACUGGGCACGGAUAUACAAUGAAGAAGGGGCUACAACUGUUGAGAAUGUCACCAGUGGCUGGGUGUUGUCAGGAUUAAAAACGUCCAAGGUCUACCGCGUGACGGUAUCUGCACACAAUGAGUUUGGAGGAAGUCAGCCGGCGCCGUCUCAGAGCUUUUAUAUUCAAUACUCAGGAAUUCAAGAUGUGACUAUUUUCCGCGAUCCUGGGAAGCCAUCAGUCCUGAAGCUUGGUCAAACUGUGACGUUCAGCUGUGUUGUAAUAGCUCAGCCUCGGGCAAAACUCUACUGGAUGUUCAACAACAAGAACAUCUCUCACACAGACAGAAUACUCGCCAUAAAGUCCAUUACCAAGAAGGACUCGGGCAUUUAUACAUGUGUUGCCUACAAUAGCAAAGGAACAAAGAGUCGGUCGUAUUUUCUUAAUAUCAAGUUCAAGCCAAGCGUUGUAAAGGUGAGAGAGGACAAUGUUCAGCCUGAUGAACAACGGAAAGGGGUUCUUGUUUGCUGGUUCGAUGGCUAUCCAGACCAGAUAACGUGGACGAAAAAUGGGCAGGUCGUCAGUGCCGUACCGAGCAAGGUAUACGUGUACACUGAGCAGAGGGAGCACACUGGCAUCGUGGUGGGCAAACUCAAGUUUGCCAAUGUCGUAUCCAAGGACUUUGGCUUGUAUCGCUGCAAUGGGUCCAAUGCCUAUGGGUAUGCAGUAGGCGCAGUACAGUUAAUUGAUCCUGAUGCGAUAAAACAUGUUAAACCGGGGUCCAAGCCACCAAAUAUUACAGCUUGCUGUAUCAAUGAAGGGAUUCACCCAGACUGUAUGGCCAUCUGCUCCUUUGAUAUUGACAUCAACAAGAUCUUUUUAGAUCCUUCAAUGGCCAAGUGUAUCACUCAUCUAGUGGCAUUUUCAAAGUGUGCUGCAGAUGGCCGUGACCACACCAAGUGCUGUGCGAAUGCUGGUGUCAUAGACUUGUGUCUUCCUUUCUGUAAGGGGGUCAUUCCCGGUGAAGACCCCUACAACACCACCUUACUCGCCUGUAUAGACCACACUGUCGCCUCCAUCAGAUGUGUUGUCAAGGGACACGAUAAUAUUCCUUCCAUUCCACUGAAUGUGUUUGCGAAGAUAAAGAACAAAGCCAUCGAUGUGCACUGGAGUGCUCCACGCCACAAUGCAGAGAAAGUUGAAUCGUAUCACGUGUUCUACAAUUCCUCUCGUAUAAAAACACAGUAUCAUGCAGUGUCAAAUACAAUCUACACCUAUGCUAUUCAACUCCCAGAUAUUGAGUCAAAUGCCUACUUUUUUGUGUGGGUGGUUGCUUUCAACGACUUUGGAGAAUCACACAAGUCUGAGAUAAAGUAUAUUUCUAUGAAAAAAGCUGACCAUGUGACCAAAUCACCUUUGUCAAGAGGACCUGGAGAAGACAAUGCCCUUGGUGUUGGACUUGGAGUUGGACUGACAAUACUUGUCAUCAUAGUGAUUGCUGUGGUUAUCUUUUUUGUGUUCCGAAGACGGUGGGGUAAAGGUAUUUUCAGUAACGAAACUGUUGCUUUCGAAAAUCCUGGUUACGGAAGAUCUCAGCCUCAGGUAACUGGCCUUCCUUCGGAGACUAUGCAGCCAGUGGGACAGUUUUCCUACGACAAACUUGAUGAACCUCUGUCAGAGCACACCUACCAGGAACUGGAACCCAAUGGCAGAACGCCAGCAACAUUACCCAUAGACCAAGAGCAGGUCAAGCUGCCACAAUGAAAAGAGAGCAGGACAAUGACGAGAGUUGUUUGUGAUAAUUAAUUUAUGUAUUAUGGGUUCUGUGAAGUGGUGGGUUUACUGAAGAACUAAUCGGGUUCUGUCUUGAAUCUCCAUAGUUUAGGGAAUUGCCCAUUUUUUUUAGUAGAUGUGUAUAUUUUUUUUAUUGGUUGAAAUUAGUAAUGUUGGUUUUUAAGUAUCUUCUAAUGAAAACUUAAACAAAAUGGUUUUGUUGUAUUCAGACAUCUACGUAGAUCAAUGUCUCUCACUGCAUUGCUGUUUACAUAUGAUUUAAACCAUAGACUUCAGAGUUUUGUAAGCAGUUUGAAUGUAAAUUAUGUUUUGGCCUAGGUCCAGACUAUAAGUUACUUCACUAUUCGUCAAUAGUUGCAUGCCCAUGUGCUAGGAACUUCAAGCACAAGUUCUGAAGUCUUGAAGAAAUUAGCAUUUUCAGUCUUGACUUUGUCUCCAUUUUAAAAUUACUUAAUCAAAAGUCAAGACUAUAAAUAUAAAUAGUUACUUCACUAACCAGUCAAUAGUUGCAUGCCCAUGUGCUCUGAAGCUUCAAGCAGGACUGUCAUGAGCACAAGUCUUUGAAGCAUAUAGCAUUUUCAGGCUUGACGUUGGCUCAGUUUUAAAACUGCUUAAUCAAAAAAUGGUAUGUGCUUUUCUGUCUGUGGGAAAGUGCAUAUAAAAGAUCCCUUGCUACAAAUGGAAAAAUAUAGCGGUUUCCUUCUUAGACUGCAUGUCUGAUAUCCAACAGUGGAUGAUUAAUAAAUCAGUGUAGUCAGAUGUUUUUACUUUUGAAGUCACUUAAAGUCUGUGUGUCACACUAAGUGUAUGUAACUCGGAACCAGCUCAGGAAAUGAAGCUAUUGUAAUAAUUCCAAAGCUUUAAGUUAAACCUAGAUAAGUCUGUCCAUCUCUGGCAGAUCUUACUGGUAUCAUAAGUGAGGAAAGCUAUAACAACAGGACAACCUUGGUGGGGAGUUGGGAGGAUAGGCUUCCAAAUACAUAUAAAACAAUUACUAGAAACUGGUGAUAUUGUUGAUUGCUGCAGACCACACUAUUUAAGGGGAGCCUUGGUCUUCAUCAUUCCCCCCCCCUCCCCCUCCCCCCUCCCUCCCCCUCCCCCCUAUGUACAGAAUGUAUAAUUGUGAAAAUAUGAGUAAUUGUAAAUAAACCUUAAUAAAACCUUCUGGUAUAAAUUCUUUACCACCGACAUUUGAUUUGAUGUGUUGAUUGCAUCAUCUACAGAGUGCCUGCCUUCAUGCAUUGGAACCAUUUUGUGCUCAAAUAUUUGUAUAUUCCCUCCAACAACAGCAGCUCUCCCUCCCAAUGUUUUGUCCGGCUCUCACAUUUAAACUGGGCCCACCGUCAACAUACAUAUCGUUGUCCUUAUAUGAAUACUUUGUACAUAAAUUGUAAAUAUUAAAUUCCGUUACGUGUGUAUGUAUGUAUGUCUGUAUUACUGAUGUUUUUUAGUUUGAAGAAAAUGUGAGAAUAAUAUAUCAGUACAUAUCAUAUUUAUUUUAAUGUUCAAAGAGUAUAUUAUAUUUUUAACAGCUGUUUACCAUGUACAAGAUUUACACUGUUUUUAUUUGUGUACAGGUGGUGGGAUCUGAAAUGUUGAAUUUUACCAUUUUAUUGUUAUUGUUGUUUUCGAAGAAAUGACAAUUAAGUGCUGUAGUGGUUUUUGACAGAUGCAAUUUAUGGUCUACUUAAUUUCUUUACACAACUUGUCUCCUACUUUUAAAUGUACUGACGAGUUCUGAUGUGUCGAAUAUAUUUGCCAAAACUGAACAUUUAAAAAAUAGUCAUGUCAGUCUUCUACGAUAACUGUUAUAUACAUUGUAACCUAUCGCUGUACUGACACUUAUGAUAAUACAAUAACAUGAAUGAGAUUCCUUCCAGGGCCCCGGUCCAUAAUAAUUGAAAAAGAGUAGCCUAUGGUAGGUACAGCUAAAUAGUUGAUGAUUGUGGGGCUUAUCUCUAGCUAUUUAAUGAAGAUUUUCAUGUAUCUUUUAAAUGUUUUUAAACAAUGCCAUAAAUUAAACAUGUUAUAAUAUAUUUUUUCCCAACAAAAGAAAUAACUGAUUUCAGAUGUUUUAAAACAAGGAAUUGUAACCAUAUAUAUAGGUUUUAUAUUAUUACGUUUGUAUUUUAAGCAUAUGUAUUCCAUUGUAUCAUCCCAAGGGGCAUAAUUGGGGAAAUAAAAAUCAUAUUUCAGAGCUUGGGCUUUCAGUAGCCAAAUUAAUUUCUCACUGAGAAAUGAUCAUGCACUGGUGUUGCGUACAAUAUUGGACGAUUUGGUGCCUACACACCAAUGACCUUGUUGGUACUAAAUAUGUCUUCAUGAUGUGGCAAAUACACAAAUGACAUCACAUAGUUUAAAGUGUUUUUCAUUUACACCUUUGUUUUCAUUGCUAAAUUUUGUAAUAAAAUGUUAUUCUAGAUUAGAAUUAUUGUUAAUGUGAAUAAAAUGAAAGUUAUAGCAAUACUCAGAACAGUGUGUAAGUGGUUAUGAAUGGAAUGCUAUGAGUAUGACAAAAUAAAUGGCUUUUAGAGAAAACAAUAACUGAGAUAAUAAAUAGAAUAAACAACUUGGUACCAGUUAAUAAAUUUAGAUGCAUUAUGAAAGCGAUAGCUUGUAACAAGUGAAGAUUAUUUCCCUCGGGAGCUAAAUUUGGUAACAACUUGUAACUUACUUGUGAUAUACAUAUCACCGAUUUUAUGUAUAUUGUAAAUAGCAUGUAACCAGGUCAUAAAUUUAACCAAAUUAUAAUUAGCUUAUCACCAAAGAAUAGGAUACUAAUAUUUUAUUAUGUACAAUAUAUUAUAUGCAGCUAUUUUUUUUUUCAUUUGUAGUGUAGUGUAAUACUACAUGUUAAACUUUUUACGUGAUAAUAUUCUUGUACAUACUCACUUGGUUCAUUUUUGCAAACUGUAACAUUUUAAUUAAAGGAUGUAUGCACUUAAGUUAAAUUAAAUUCCAAUUCACCUUAAGCAACUUCUAUUAACAAUUUCACAUUAUACACACAACAUAUAUUCGGUACCAAAUGUAGGAAUAACAAGCCAUAGGAUUUCAAGGGAAUUUUUUUUUUUUCUGUACCUUGUGAUCAUGGAAACCUAUUGGAAACUGUUUUUUAAAAAUAUUUAUAUAUAUAUAUAUAUAUUAUUUUCGUUGAAUAGUUGUACUCGAUAUAAUAAUCAUAGGAAACUAAAUUUCGGUUCCGUGAUUUUACCGACAUGGUACCGGAACGAUUGUUUCUGUGAAAUCAGAGGGCCUGAAAAAUAAAAUAAAAGGAGGUGUCAAGGCUAAAAUCUAUUUUUAGGAUUCUUUAACAUUUUUUCCCCUUGUUCAAAUGGUAUGUUACCACCUAAUACAAUCUGUUUAAAUUUUAUGAUUUUUUAGGUUCCUUGUUUAUAAUUUAGCCCUAAAUAUCAGGCUACCAGGGUUUCUGUGUUAAGAAAUGUUGUUUUUAUUUUGUUUUUAAA
rnacentral:misc_RNA from 1 species